rnacentral:rRNA from 1 species
GCUGUUUCGCUGACGAGUGGCGGAUGGGUGAGUAAUGUCUGGGAAACUGCCUGAUGGAGGGGGAUAACUACUGGAAACGGUAGCUAAUACCGCAUAACGUCGCAAGACCAAAGAGGGGGACCUUCGGGCCUCUUGCCAUCGGAUGUGCCCAGAUGGGAUUAGCUAGUAGGUGGGGUAACGGCUCACCUAGGCGACGAUCCCUAGCUGGUCUGAGAGGAUGACCAGCCACACUGGAACUGAGACACGGUCCAGACUCCUACGGGAGGCAGCAGUGGGGAAUAUUGCACAAUGGGCGCAAGCCUGAUGCAGCCAUGCCGCGUGUAUGAAGAAGGCCUUCGGGUUGUAAAGUACUUUCAGCGGGGAGGAAGGGAGUAAAGUUAAUACCUUUGCUCAUUGACGUUACCCGCAGAAGAAGCACCGGCUAACUCCGUGCCAGCAGCCGCGGUAAUACGGAGGGUGCAAGCGUUAAUCGGAAUUACUGGGCGUAAAGCGCACGCAGGCGGUUUGUUAAGUCAGAUGUGAAAUCCCCGGGCUCAACCUGGGAACUGCAUCUGAUACUGGCAAGCUUGAGUCUCGUAGAGGGGGGUAGAAUUCCAGGUGUAGCGGUGAAAUGCGUAGAGAUCUGGAGGAAUACCGGUGGCGAAGGCGGC